rnacentral:rRNA from 1 species
GAGUUUGAUCCUGGCUCAGGAUGAACGCUGGCGGCGUGCCUAACACAUGCAAGUCGAGCGGUAUAUACUUAAGUGAAACUUCGGUCGAGCGAGAGUAUAGAGAGCGGCGGACGGGUGAGUAACGCGUAGGCAACCUGCCCCAUACACAGGGAUAGCCUCGGGAAACCGGGAUUAAAACCUGAUAAUGCGAAAGAUCUACAUGGAUCUUUCGCCAAAGAUUUAUCGGUAUGGGAUGGGCCUGCGUCUGAUUAGCUAGUUGGUGGGGUAACGGCCUACCAAGGCGACGAUCAGUAGCCGACCUGAGAGGGUAAUCGGCCACAUUGGAACUGAGACACGGUCCAAACUCCUACGGGAGGCAGCAGUGGGGAAUAUUGCACAAUGGGCGAAAGCCUGAUGCAGCAACGCCGCGUGAGCGAUGAAGGCCUUUGGGUCGUAAAGCUCUGUCCUUGGGGAAGAAAAAAAUGACGGUACCCUUGGAGGAAGCCCCGGCUAACUACGUGCCAGCAGCCGCGGUAAUACGUAGGGGGCAAGCGUUAUCCGGAAUUAUUGGGCGUAAAGAGUGCGUAGGUGGUUUUGUAAGCGCGGGGUGAAAGGCAAUAGCUCAACUAUUGUAAGCCUUGCGAACUGCAAGACUUGAGUGCAGGAGAGGAAAGUGGAAUUCCUAGUGUAGCGGUGAAAUGCGUAGAUAUUAGGAGGAACACCAGUGGCGAAGGCGACUUUCUGGACUGUAACUGACACUGAGGCACGAAAGCGUGGGGAGCAAACAGGAUUAGAUACCCUGGUAGUCCACGCCGUANACGAUGAGCACUAGGUGUCGGGGCCGCAAGGUUUCGGUGCCGCAGUUAACGCA